rnacentral:rRNA from 1 species
GACGAACGCUGGCGGCGUGCUUAACACAUGCAAGUCGAACGAAGUGGCGAACGGGUGAGUAACGCGUAAUCAACCUGCCAUUCGGAGGGGGACAACAGUUGGAAACGAAGGCUAAUACCGCAUACUGAAGGAGGGGAUUGCGGCGGAUUAGCUAGUUGGAGGGGUAACGGCCCACCAAGGCGAUGAUCAGUAGCCGGUCUGAGAGGAUGAACGGCCAAAUUGGGACUGGGACCAGGCCCAGAAUCCUACGGGAGGCAGCAGUGGGGAAUCUUCCGCAAUGGACGAAAGUCUGACGGAGCAACGCCGCGUGAGUGAUGACGGCCUUCGGGUUGUAAAGCUCUGUUAAUCGGGACGCGGUACCGGAAUAGAAAGCCACGGCUAACUACGUGCCAGCAGCCGCGGUAAUAC